AACUUAGCUUGCUAAGUUUGAUGGCGACCGGCGCACGGGUGAGUAACACGUAUCCAACCUGCCGAUGACUCGGGGAUAGCCUUUCNAAAGAAAGAUUAAUACCCGAUGGCAUAAUUCUUCCGCAUGGUAGAAUUAUUAAAGAAUUUCGGUCAUCGAUGGGGAUGCGUUCCAUUAGGUUGUUGGCGGGGUAACGGCCCACCAAGCCUUCGAUGGAUAGGGGUUCUGAGAGGAAGGUCCCCCACAUUGGAACUGAGACACGGUCCAAACUCCUACGGGAGGCAGCAGUGAGGAAUAUUGGUCAAUGGACGAGAGUCUGAACCAGCCAAGUAGCGUGAAGGAUGACUGCCCUAUGGGUUGUAAACUUCUUUUAUACGGGAAUAAAGUGAGGCACGUGUGCCUUUUUGUAUGUACCGUAUGAAUAAGGAUCGGCUAACUCCGUGCCAGCAGCCGCGGUAAUACGGAGGAUCCGAGCGUUAUCCGGAUUUAUUGGGUUUAAAGGGAGCGUAGGCGGACGCUUAAGUCAGUUGUGAAAGUUUGCGGCUCAACCGUAAAAUUGCAGUUGAUACUGGGUGUCUUGAGUACAGUAGAGGCAGGCGGAAUUCGUGGUGUAGCGGUGAAAUGCUUAGAUAUCACGAAGAACUCCGAUUGCGAAGGCAGCCUGCUGGACUGUAACUGACGCUGAUGCUCGAAAGUGUGGGUAUCA
rnacentral:rRNA from 1 species